rnacentral:rRNA from 1 species
CAUGCAAGUUGAAGGAACCUUCGGGUUAGUGGCGGACGGGUGAGUAACGCGUGAGAAUCUGCCCUCAGGAGGGGGAUAACAGCUGGAAACGGCUGCUAAUACCCCAUAUGCCGCGAGGUGAAAUGAAUUUGGCCCGAGGAUGAGCUCGCGUCUGAUUAACUAGUUGGUGUAGGUAAUGGCUCACCAAGGCAUCGAUCAGUAGCUGGUAUGAGAGGAUGAUCAGCCACACUGGGACUGAGACACGGCCCAGACUCCUACGGGAGGCAGCAGUGGGGAAUUUUCCGCAAUGGGCGAAAGCCUGACGGACAACGCCGCGUGAGGGAUGAAGGCCUCUGGGCUGUAAACCUCUUUUAUCAAGGAAGAAGAUCUGACGGUACUUGAUGAAUAAGCCACGGCUAAUC